rnacentral:rRNA from 1 species
UACGAAGGGGGCUAGCGUUGCUCGGAAUCACUGGGCGUAAAGCGCACGUAGGCGGCUUGUUAAGUCGGGGGUGAAAUCCUGGAGCUCAACUCCAGAACUGCCUUUGAUACUGGCGAUCUUGAGUCCGGGAGAGGUGAGUGGAACUGCGAGUGUAGAGGUGAAAUUCGUAGAUAUUCGCAAGAACACCAGUGGCGAAGGCGGCUCACUGGCCCGGUACUGACGCUGAGGUGCGAAAGCGUGGGGAGCAAACAGG